UUGACUAAUCUGAUAAUCUCCCAAUUCCCCAACGACCAUCGUCCAGCGACCCAUCGUCCAUCGACCCAUCCAUCGACGCAUUGGCAAGGCAGUGACCGGCGUCCGGCUUGCGAGGCGGGAGGCGGGAGGCGGAAGGCGGCGAGGCAGCGACUCCAGCGACAGCGAGGAUGACAAGUAACAAUACAAAUGAAUCUAUUCCUAAACAAGUUGACGUUCAAGUUACAACUACAACUCCAUCAAUUCCAUCAAUUUCUUCAAAGUUUUGUCAAAGAUGGCUGCUGAUAUACUAGCUGUUCCUAUUUCAAGUGUGGCAUCUGAAUCCACAUUUAGUGCCGGGGGAAGGGUGAUUGAUGAAUAUCGUGCUAGCUUAAAUGAACAAUCUAUUGAAGCUCUUAUUUGUGGCGGGGAUUGGCUUCGUAACAAGUAUGGGCUGAAGAAAAAAGAAAAGGAGGGUUCUGGGCAAGAGGAGAUUAUGCUUAAGCCGUGACUUGUUUCAUUUUAUGUUUGAAUAUUGUUAUGUUUAUAUUGUUGUUAUUAUGUUUGUAUUGUUGAUUUAUGCUUGUGUUGUUGUUAAACUUGUAUUUCUGUAGUUGUGUUAAUCCGUUGGACUUUUGUAUUAUGGACUUGUGGUGUUGGAUAAAAGUUUGUAUUAGUUGUAUUGCUGAAUUGUAUUACGAACUUUUACUUGUGGUGUUGGAUAAUCUAUUAUGAAAUAUGAACUUUUAUGGUUAA